rnacentral:rRNA from 1 species
UCGAGGAUUUUUCUCAAUGGGGGAAACCCUGAAGGAGCGACGCCGCGUGGGGGAUGAAGGUCUUCGGAUUGUAAACCCCUGUCAUGCGGGAUCAAAGCUUACGACUUAAUACGUCGUAAGUUGAUAGUACUGCAAGAGGAAGCAGUGGCUAACUCUGUGCCAGCAGCCGCGGUAAUACAGAGACUGCAAGCGUUGUUCGGAUUCAUUGGGCGUAAAGGGUCCGCAGGCGGUUCGGCAAGUCGGGUGUGAAAUCCCGUAGCUUAACUACGGAAAGUCAUUCGAAACUGCCGAGCUAGAGGACUGGAGAGGAGACUGGAAUGGUCGGUGUAGCGGUGAAAUGCGUAGAGAUCGACCAGAACACCAGUAGCGAAGGCGAGUCUCUGGACAGUUCCUGACGCUCAUGGACGAAAGCCAGGGGAGCAAACGGG